ensembl:lncRNA
GUCAGGGAUGGGGAUGGGGUCAGGGUUGGGGUUUGGGGACAGGGAUGGGGUUUGGGGUGAGGGAUGGGGUUUGGGGACAGGGAUGGGGGUCAGGGUUGGGGUUGGGGUCAGGGUUGGGGGUCAGGGAUGGGGAUGGGGUUGGGGGUGAGGGAUGGAGUUGGGGUCAGGGUUGGGGGUCAGGGAUGGGGAUGGGGUUGGGGUCAGGGUUGGGGUUGGGGUCAGGGAUGGGGUUGGGUUGGGGUUGGGGUUGGGGUUGGGAUUAGGCUCAGGAUUGGGGUUGGGGUUGGGGUUAGGAUUAGGCUCAGGGUUGGGGUUGAUUUGGGGUUGGGGUUGGGAUUAGGCUCAGGAUUGGGGUUGGGGUUGGGGUUAGGAUUAGGCUCAGGGUUGGGGUUGGGGUUGGGGUUGGGAUUAGGCUCGGGGUUGGGGUUGGGGUUGGGAUUAGGCUCAGGGUUGGGGUUGGGGUUGGGGUUGGGAUUAGGCUCAGGGUUGGGGUUGAAUUGGGGUUGGGGUUGGGGUUGGGAUUAGGCUCAGGGUUGGGGUUGAAUUGGGGUUGGGGUUGGGAUUAGGCUCAGGAUUGGGGUUGGGGUUUGGGUUAGGCUCAGGGUUGGGGUUGGGCUGAGGGUCGGGAUCGGGGUCAGGGCUGGGGUUUAGCGAAUGCUUUCAGCCCUCAGGGUUCGGCUCGGGUUGGGCUUUCGGGGUCCCCCGACCCCGCAGUC